GCUUGUGGCCAUACCACCCUGAACACGCCUGUUCAGGAUCGGGCCUGGUUAGUACUGUGACAGGAGACCCCCUGGGAAUACCAGGUGCAGGAAACU
rnacentral:rRNA from 1 species